rnacentral:rRNA from 1 species
UAAUACAGAGGGUGCAAGCGUUAAUCGGAAUUACUGGGCGUAAAGGGUGUGUAGGUGGUUAUGUAAGUCAGGUGUAAAAUCCUUAGGCUCAACCUAAGAAUGUCAUUUGAUACUGCAUAGCUAGAGUUCUAUAGAGGGCAGUGGAAUUUCCGGUGUAGCGGUGAAAUGCGUAGAUAUCGGAAGGAACAUCAGUGGCGAAGGCGACUGCCUGGAUAGUUUCUGACACUGAGACACGAAAGCAUGGGGAGCAAACAGG